CCUACGGGAGGCUGCAGUGGGGAAUAUUGCACAAUGGGGGAAACCCUGAUGCAGCAACGCCGCGUGAAGGAAGACGGUUUUCGGAUUGUAAACUUCUUUUAAGGGGGAAGGGCAGAAGACGGUACCCCUUGAAUAAGCCACGGCUAACUACGUGCCAGCAGCCGCGGUAAUACGUAGGUGGCAAGCGUUGUCCGGAUUUACUGGGUGUAAAGGGCGUGCAGCCGGAGAGGCAAGUCAGAUGUGAAAUCCGCGGGCUCAACUCGCGAACUGCAUUUGAAACUGCUUCCCUUGAGUAUCGGAGAGGUAAUCGGAAUUCCUAGUGUAGCGGUGAAAUGCGUAGAUAUUAGGAAGAACACCAGUGGCGAAGGCGGAUUACUGGACGACAACUGACGGUGAGGCGCGAAAGCGUGGGGAGCAAACAGGAUUAGAUACCCCAGUAGUC
rnacentral:rRNA from 1 species